ensembl:lncRNA
GUUCGCCUCCUCCAGCGGCAGGAUGUGAGCCACCUGCAAGGAGGGACGCCAAUAAGGCAUCCGAUAAGAUAAGUCUUAUAAAAUAUAUAGAUUUAUAAUAAUUAAGACUGAGCUAGCAGAUGAGAAUCCUAGUCAUUGGCCAAGCAGCAUUGUACCUAAUACAAGUUUCUGUGUAUUCAUUUGGGCCUAACUUGGGCGGGUGGCUGACGUAAAGCGCACACGUGGCGGUGGGGCUCGGGUGGCCUUUGGCAGAAAGAUUUAUCGUAACAGCUUUCCUUCAUGAUUUUUAGUGAAAGUGUUUUAUAUAUGUAUCUUGAAAUAAUCAUCUUAAAAUUUAGAAUAAAAUAAAUGCAUGCUACAGAAUGUAGACUGUCUAGAACAUUUACAUAAGUUUUGCUACUAUAUAUGAUUUUCCAUUAUAGUUAUAUGCUUUAGUGACCCAACUAAUAAAGCAAAAAUCACUGGAUUGCUUUUUUAAUUGAAAAUAGAUUUUUUCUCACAUUAUAUAUCAUGAGUACAGUUUCUCUUCCCUCUACUGUUAUUUUUUUUGUUUAAAUUAGAUAUAAAGAAAAAGAGGAGGACACAAGAUGAGACUUAUUGACUAGUUUAUUAUAAGGCCCAGCAGAGUAGGGAGACUAAGAGAGAAGAGGAACAGGGGUAAUGGCUGACUGCCAUGGCCGGUUGCCAUAGAGAGGCAGAGAAAGUGCAUAGGUGGGAGAAGAGAAGAGCAGAGCAAAGAAGAAGCAAAGAGAGCAAAGCAGGAAAGUUGGAACUUUUAAAGGGAAGACUGAGGUUCCACACAUGACCAGAGUCCUCACGCAGGCCGAAUGCAUGGCAGUUGAUGUGGUGAUGACAUAGCAUGUUUUCCUGUGCUUGCCCUGACUGUUGUCAGGGGGCGAGGUCUGUCUCUUAAAGAGGUAGAGCCGAUCAGCAUUAAAGCCUGAACCUUUCAUCUACUCCUCCCAGUUCCUCCCCACCUUACCUCCUGUCCAGAUCCACCCCCUUUUUGUCUCUCAUUAGAAAACAAACAGGCUUCUAAGGGAAUGUGAUAUAAUAUAAUGUGAUUUGAAAAAGAAAAAAAAACUAAUACGUUGGAAUAAGACAAAACAAACAGAAGGAAAAAGAGCCCAAGGAAAAGAGAUCCGCUCAUUUACACACUCAGAAAUCCCAUUAAACACUAAAUUGGAAGCCAUAAUGUAUACACAAAGGACCUAUAAAGAGAGAAAAGGAAAAAAAUAAAAAUAAAACAACAAAAACAACAAGCAAACAAAAGGGAAGCUGCCUCAUAUUAUAUGAAAAGGAACCUGCAAAGAUGCCUUUGAGUUUGUGUUCUGUUGGCCAUCUACUGCUGGGCAUGCAGCCCACCUACCCUUAAGAGGAGUUUGUUUCCCCAGUAAGACUCCCUUGGAGAAAACUAGAUUUUCAUUUCCAAGUAGUUCCUGAUUGGAGAUUGCUUCUGAGUUAGGGAUGGGGUCAUGUCUUCAUGUCUCCUUUCAGCUCUAGGACCCCAUUGAUGCUACUUUUUUGUAGUGAAUUAAUGAGUAACUCUAGACUCAUAAUAUGUCAAUGAAUUAAAUUUGUUUAAUUAUGAGCUUUGACUGCAUAUUUAAAAACUCAAGUAAUUACAAAAAAUACAUACUCAUUUUUUUAUAAGAAAUGUAGGAUUAUUCCAAAAACUAUUACAGUGAAAAGCUGUAUAUAUAAAACACUAGUUGCUUAGAAGCCAAUUUAUUUGGGCUAUUAAUUUAGAGAGGUUGUACUUGUGCUGGCUUGUUUUUAUGUCAACUUGUUAUAGGUUGUAUUUGUAUAUAAUUGUGCAUACACAUACACAAAUACAUACAUUUAUACAUGUAUGUAACAGUAAUAAAGAAAAAGAUGCUAUCGAUUUUAAAAGGGGAACAUGGGAGGAGUUCAAAGUGGGGGAGCUGGGAUGGGCUGAGGGAGGAAAGGGAGGAAGGAAGGUGAUGUAAAUUCUUUUUCAAUUAAAAACGUUUUAAAAUUAUGAAUAUAUAUACAUUUAUACAUACUGAAGUGUUGAUGGAGCUUCUCUUGUCCUGCCAGGUUCCGUGCCCUUCUCAGCCCCAAAUAAACACAUAGAGACUUAUAUUAAUUAUAAAACUGUUGGCCAGUGGCUAGGGCUUCUUAUUGGCUAGCUCUCUCUUGAUUAUUAACCCAUAACUACUAAUCUAUGUAUUUCCAUAUCGUCUUGUCUUACUAGAGAAUGCCCAGACGUUUUACUCCUUGUGUGAUCUAUAUGGCAACUGUUCUGGUGGUCUCCCUUUGCCUACCUUUCCCAGAAUUCUUCUCGUCUCCUAGUCCUGCCUAUCUUCCUGCCUCAUUAGCCAAACAGUGUUUUAUUCAUCAACCAAUAAUAUACAGAAGGACAUUCCCCAUCCAGCUUCCCUUAAAGGAGUUACGAGCCUCUGCUUGUCUCUAGCAAACAGAGCCCACCCGAAAAAAUGUUGCUACCAAGAAGCUGUGCUUGACUUGGUUCUUUUGUUUCUAAAAUCCUCUUUUAAGCUUUUUUACUGGUUUUAUAUGGAAAUUUGUGCAACCCACGUUUGAGCCAUAUAAGCACACCAUGUGAUCCAUCAUAUCUUUAUAGCCCUCCUCGUUUGCCAACUGGAUGCAGAGGAGCCAGCAGAGAAGCCAAGGUCCUAGCAGAUGGUGGAGCCCUAGAUAGGAGAAGUCUUCCUGAACGAUGACCCUGAGGGUGCCUUUAAGCCAAAACCCCUUCUGCAGACUGCAUGACAGCAAAUAUAAGCAGUUCAGCUCUGGCAUUCUGAGGUUUGAGUUUCACAGCUGCUAGCCCCACUCACCUGAGUAAUGGGGAAGAGGAUACACUAUUGGGAAAAACAAAAGUAAAGACAAGCUAGGAAAAGAGGGAGGAAACAUAAAAAUAAAUAACAAAGGAACCAAGUAAACCAGCCAGUUAAUAGGAGGACCAGUCCUAAGAGAUUGCUUCUAAGUUAUGUAGUCCUGGAAAUUUCUGCAUGAAUUAGAGCCUAUUACAUGUAUGGAUGAAGCUCAUUAUCUUGUAUGCUAACUUUAAACAUUAAUUAAAUAAUAAUAUGUAAAUGUUCAUAAUAACAUUGUUUUACAUUUAUAAAAUAGUCACAAACCAUAUUGCCUCCAAAAGUCUCCCCUCCAUAUCUUUCAGUGAUCAAUUGCUAUGUAGGUAAUGCUGAGAAAUGCCUUUUAUUAUUAUGAAUGACAUCUGUCAGCUUCAUGUCUUAGUGUAUAAUGUACUUAUUUGAAGACAAGCACACUGGACUUAGAAAAAUGAUUUUUUUAAACAGCUGUUAUUUUAUUUUACAUGUGUAAAUCAAUGUCAACAAUAUUGCUACCUAUCACACUGUUGCACAGGACUUACAAGUUAGGGAUUAGAGAGACAUUAUAGGAAAAUUGGCCUUGAUUAAAUAAUUAUGUUUAGAUAUACAGGUGCAGUGGAAAGGGGGCCUUGGGAGAUGGGUUAGGUAUGGUUAGAAAGACCAGAGGACAGGUUGGUUUAUAUGACUGCUAAGUCCUUUAUACGUUCUCUGUUCCCCAGAACAUUAAAAAUUAAACUCAUAGAAUUUGGAGUGACAUUGAAACUAUGAUAUUAUAUCUGAAGCCAAUAUAUACCUAAAACUAAAUCCAUGAUAGAGUGAGCCUCCCUUCCAAAAAUAAAAUAUCUCCCACUUCUGAGCCUGUGGAGAUGAUCACUGAUGCUUCGGAGUCCAACAGAUCUGGUCUGAAUCCAGCCCCUAUUUACCGAUGACCUGGGCACGUGGCAUGUCCUCUUCAAGGCUCAGCCUCCUCUUCUGGAUAAUGGAGAUGGUCUCAUCUAGCUGCUGUGUGGGAUAAAUAGCACGAGGCCUGGGCCUGGUGCCUAAUACACACUAAAGAAAUCUCUGUGCUGGCUGGUAUUAUCCAUAUCAUUACUACAUUACAGACAAUAGGCUAAUUGCUUAUGGUAGGGUCAUUACUGGAAGGACAAGUACAUCUAUGACGUCUGUAAUGUGAUUUUUAAAGUUCUUUAA